UAGCUCGUUUUUUUUCAGGAUAAGAUAUAGUACUACAUUUCAUCAAUAUCAUGACAACCAAGAUACUAUGGUUGAAAUCCUAAAUUGAUAUCUUGAAGAUCCUUGGAGUCAGAUUUUAUUCCUUCUUAUAUUAAAAUUCAAAAGAGUCAACAUUAAAUUAAGCAAUAAUGUAUUAAUAAACAAUCACCUUUCUUUAAUGUUUAUUCAUUUCGUUCGUGUAUAUUUUAGAAAUUAAGAAAUGAAAACUGUAACUGUACUAAGUUCAAUUUUCGUAUCGUUUAUAUGCCUUACGGAAUACCGACCUUUUCCGGAAUCGACUUUUGUUUAAUCACCGGAAAUGAUUUCGAAAUUUGAAUUUCGAAACGAAGACAGGAUAUCAACAAAGAGAGCCAAGAAAAUUGUUUGUUACGUGAUAUAUACUCACUUGGAGCUAAAAGAAAAGCCACAAAGGACAAGUUCAAUAUGCAGGUUUACAAUUUGGAAGUGGCGCAGGUUCUUUGGAAUGUCUACAACCUUUCAGGAGAUUUUUUUUUUGAAAAGCAUGGCACAGCAAGAAAAAGAUAAAAGACACUACAAGACAUUCCAAGUGAUUUUGAAUAACACAAUUGAUUGACUUUUCAAUGUAUUCUUAAAUAAAUCAAAUACAUGUAGUUGAUGUAAAA